rnacentral:rRNA from 1 species
UACGUAGGGGGCAAGCGUUGUCCGGAAUUAUUGGGCGUAAAGCGCGCGCAGGCGGUCAUUUAAGUCUGGUGUUUAAUCCCGGGGCUCAACCCCGGGUCGCAUGGGAAACUGGAUGACUGGAGUGCAGAAGAGGAAAGUGGAAUUCCACGUGUAGCGGUGAAAUGCGUAGAGAUGUGGAGGAACACCAGUGGCGAAGGCGACUUUCUGGGCUGUAACUGACGCUGAGGCGCGAAAGCGUGGGGAGCAAACAGG